ensembl:lncRNA TTTY7B testis expressed transcript, Y-linked 7B
AAGGCAGGCUCAGGUAACCAACUCUCAGGGCUGUCAUCCUGACUAAGCAGAGGAAAAUGGUACAGGCAGAACUGAACUAGGGUGGGAUAAAAGGCUGCCUGAGAUAACCCACUGCCUUACCCAAAAGGUCUAGACUCUAGAGCCCUUUUGGGCAGUCUCCAUGGUCAGGUCCAACUGAAAGAGGAGUCAUUUUGAGACUGUGAGGUGGUCGCUGCAAUCUGCUCCUCUGUCUCCAUUCCAAAAAGAGACUGUGUGUAAGAGUCUGCUCUCUUGGGGAUUGGAAUACCAUCUGGUCCCAGGAUAAAAUCCCAACAUGAUGGAGGAGUGCCCCCUCAUUAUGUGAAGCACCUGCUGGGCUUGGAACCAAAUUCAGUGAUGAAAUCCCAAGAUGAUGGAGGAGUGAACCCUGACGACAGGAAGUACCUGCUCACCUAUGAACAAAAUUUGAGGAUCGUGGGACUAUCCUGUGGAUCCCACAGAGAAGAGAGAGGACAGUCCACCACUGAUGCACCUCCACAGAGGUCUCCUUCUCCGCCAAACCUCACGGAAUUGUGACAUUCAUGGCGAAUGUGCGGGACCCCAUCCAUCCCUCACCAGCUUGUAUCCUCAGCUUUAUCUGAAGUUAAAAGUAUCUUUCCCAUAAUGAAAUCCAAAGAUGAUGGAAGAGUGCCCCCUCACGGUGUGGAGGUCCUGCUUGGCUAGCAACUGAAUAUGAAGUAAAUUCAAGGGACCCUGUGGACCGGACUGCUAGUGUUUCUAAAUGGGGUGUACACUGGACAAUAAAACACUGAAAGAUUUCUGUUCCUGAA